GGCGGACGGGUGAGGAAUACAUCGGAAUCUACUCUGUCGUGGGGGAGUAACGUAGGGAAACUUACGCUAAUACCGCAUACGACCUACGGGUGAAAGCAGGGGAUCUUCGGACCUUGCGCGAUUGAAUGAGCCGAUGUCGGAUUAGCUAGUUGGCGGGGUAAAGGCCCACCAAGGCGACGAUCCGUAGCUGGUCUGAGAGGAUGAUCAGCCACACUGGAACUGAGACACGGUCCAGACUCCUACGGGAGGCAGCAGCU
rnacentral:rRNA from 1 species